GAACAUUUACACAGUAAGUUCUUAGCAUUUGGUAUUUUGUUGGACAGAACAGAGAUGAGUUAUCAUAAGUUCCAUUCACUACCUCUUGAUCAGUUUUGCUUUAAUUCAGAAUCUAAAUAUUCAUUCUAUUGAAGAAACUAUGUCAUUCCAAAUAUAUGCAUCCAGCUUACAUUAUACAAUGAAAAAUUGACGAAGUACACUUCUUUUUCCUUGUGUCCUAUUGAAGAAACAAUGCCAUCAGUACCAAAUAUAAUCUUGCACAAAUGACAUGAUAAACUUCCACUUGAGAAUAUAAGAAUAUGAAGAAAAUAAAUAACAGCAGAAUGUAAAUUCUCUUGUAACAGCAAUGGUAUGAGAAUCUUAGCUAUUAAUUGAUUGUUCAGUCUUCAGUAUAAUCUGAAAGGAACAAAUAAAAGAGGUACGAGAAAAAUGAGAGGAAGAGAGGCACAUAUAAGAAUGUGGAAUUAUACAUCUAAAUGGAAUUGUGGAUACAGAAAUGACAAAAGAUGCCAUUGCUUCCCCCACUUGCUGGCAUAUUGUUCUUUUGAAUUAGACAACAAACUAAAGAAACUAGUUCUGCAUCAAUAUUCAGAACCUGUAAAUCUUUUGAUACUACUUCU
rnacentral:misc_RNA from 1 species